rnacentral:tRNA from 1 species
GCGAGAGUGGCGGAAUUGGUAGACGCACUGGAUUUAGGUUCCAGCGCCGCAAGGUGUGGGGGUUCGAGUCCCCCCUCUCGCACCA